rnacentral:ribozyme from 1 species
ACAUGUGCCUCCAUAUAUCCUAGCAUGGGUACACGGGCUAAAACCAACCCCUUGGGCGGAUGGUGGCAUAUGGCGAACCAGGAGGGA